rnacentral:rRNA from 1 species
UACGUAGGGGGCAAGCGUUGUCCGGAAUCAUUGGGCGUAAAGCGCGUGUAGGCGGCCAGAAAAGUCCGCUGUGAAAACUCGAGGCUCAACCUCGAGCUGUCGGUGGAAACUUUCUGGCUAGAGUCCGGAAGAGGAGAAUGGAAUUCCCGGUGUAGCGGUGAAAUGCGCAGAUAUCGGGAAGAACACCCGUGGCGAAGGCGGCUCUCUGGGACGGUACUGACGCUGAGACGCGAAAGCGUGGGGAGCAAACAGG